rnacentral:sRNA from 1 species
CUUGGUCAUUUAGAGGAAGUAAAAGUCGUAACAAGGUCUCCGUUGGUGAACCAGCGGAGGGAUCAUUAAAGAGUUGCAAAACUCCCUUUAAACCAUCGCGAACGUUACCCACGACGCCGUUGCCUCGGCGGAGCGUCGCCCCGUGCCGUCAAAAGUACGGGGCGUGCGCCCGCCGGGAGACCGGCACAACCAAACUCUUAUAACCAUUGGCCUCUCUGAGUAAGAUUUUUAAAUAAGUCAAAACUUUCAACAACGGAUCUCUUGGUUCUGGCAUCGAUGAAGAACGCAGCGAAAUGCGAUAAGUAAUGUGAAUUGCAGAAUUCAGUGAAUCAUCGAAUCUUUGAACGCACAUUGCGCCCGCCAGUAUUCUGGCGGGCAUGCCCGUUCGAGCGUCAUUUCAACCAUCAAGCCCUGCUUGUGUUGGGGUCCUGCGGCUGCCCGCAGGCCCUGAAAACCAGUGGCGGGCUCGCUAGUCACACCGAGCGCAGUAGCACAUCUCGCUUUGGUCGUGCGGCGGGUUCUUGCCGUAAAACACCCCCCUUUUAUCAAGGUUGACCUCGGAUCAGGUAGGAAUACCCGCUGAACUUAAGCAUAUCAAUAAGCGGAGGAAAAGAAACCAACAGGGAUUGCCCUAGUAACGGCGAGUGAAGCGGCAACAGCUCAAAUUUGAAAUCUGGCUUCGGCCCGAGUUGUAAUUUGUAGAGGGAGCUUUUGGCGAGGCACCUACUGAGUCCCCUGGAACGGGGCGCCGUAGAGGGUGAGAGCCCCGUAUAGUAGGACGCCGAGCCUUUGUAAAGCCCCUUCGACGAGUCGAGUUGUUUGGGAAU